CCCAGCUCGUUCCUCUCCUCGUCUUCUCUGCUAUCCCAAGAACAGAACUAGCCACCCACCUCUCUCUCUCUCCCCAAGAACAGAGCAUGGCCGCCGCCGCCUCGAUCUGCCCUGUCCGGGCAUCUCCGGCGACACGGUGGACACCUACAGAUUCUCCUCGUCUCCCUCUACCAUUUCCCCUAUUUAUUUUAUCCGCUGCCGCCAAAAACGUCGCCACCACUCAAUCCUAGCGCCGCCUGAUUCAGGUCCGGUGGGCUUGCCACCGGCUGCAGCGGCAACGACGUCUCCAUGCCUACAUCCUCCCCCAACGCAGCCACACGCACGAGGCGUGCAGCCACGGGCGUCGGGCGUGUGCGGCUUCACCGGCGCUGCUCGGUCGCAUGGCUCUGCUGCUAACGGUGUGGACUAGCCACAUCCUACUGCUACUACUGCAAGAUAAAUAGAUCAAGGUGAAUAGAUGCUCAUGGACUGAUUCAAACCGAGGUGAAGAUAGACAAGAAGUCAAGCAAGAAGGGCUAACACAACAAGGUACUCUAUUAGUACCUGAUGGCGCAUGCGACCCAAAGGGCUUCACCACAGUGAAGGACAGCAGUGUGGCAGAAGGUGAAAAGGCAAGUGGUGGUGGUACUCCAGUGUAUGUGUGUGUGUGAGGUGGAAUGGACCACAGUGAAAGGAAUGGCUCCUAUUUAUAGUGGGGUUAGUAGCUAUGUCGGUUUGGAGAGGCAUUACAUCUGCAUGCAUGCGUGGUUAGGCUUGCAUGCAUGCCUCCACUUGUGUCUCUUGUAGGCUGUACUAGGGACAAGUGUAAUUUGCUUGACUGGCCAUUAGUUGGCAUUUACUUUAUGUGGAAAAAAAAAUGAGACCAAGAUCUGAUUAUAAAUUUGUAUAAUACAUGGAGGUUCGGAAAAUAUUUUGUUGUGCAUGGUCAAAUGCUAUUUGCUAUAAUAAAAGUUAAAUGUCA